CACAACAGUCACUGCUACUAUAAAAUCAAUGAAAAUUCAAGGUUAAAAUAAAAUAAAAACAAACAAACAAACAAAGAGAGCCACUUACACACUUGCAUCUUCUCUUCCAAGGAGUUUUACAGGGGUCCCUGAUCUCGGCGAAAGCAGGGAGCUCUCCGGUAACUCAUCGGGGCUAAGAAUCCGGCCGGGCCACCAAGACCCAUUUCGCCUCCGAACCCAAACCAGCCCACCCACCGACGCAUCAAUGCCCUUGUUAAUGGGCUCUCCAUUACUCCCCAUCUCAUACAGAACUACGGGAUUUUUGUUUGUAUUUUCUUAAAGGGAAAAUAAACCCUUCUCAAAACCAAGAAAUGCAACUAAAAAUAGCAUAACAUUAUAGAAGAAAAUUCGAAAAAUUUUUGAAUCAUAAGCAUACACAAAACUCAUAGGUACAAAAAUAUAAAAAGCAAGAAACUUGGGGGACAAAAUAGAUUCAGAAACCCAAAACCAAGAGAAAUCAGAAACUAGGAUAGAAGGGUCGAAAAAUAGAUCUGGUAAAAGAAAAUCUGGAAGUGCAGUUUUUUGUCAGUUUUUUUCCCUAAAUUUCCCAGAAAAAAUUAAAACCCCUCUUUAUUUUGAUUAAUGUUUUCUGCUUCAUUAUUUUAAGCAAAAGCAAGAUUUAUUUUUACUAAAACAUCGGCUUCUGAUGUGUGCGAUAGAGACAAAUCUGUGUAUUCUGUUGACGAUGGAAAACGGAGUAGAGAGAGGCGCUGUAGUCUAGAAACUGGGAUCAAACUUUUUGGUAUCUUUAUGCCAUCACGAGAAAAUCUUGAGUUAAAUGUAAACGAGUCACUGAACUUAUCACGCUUUACAACUUAAAUUUUAAAAUACUUUUGAGUGAAAAAACGUCGGACUUCACGACUCACUCAUCAUAUUUCACAAAUUACGGAACUUUAAAAUAUUUUUUGAGG
rnacentral:lncRNA from 1 species